UGGGAACCUUCCCUAUGGUUCGGAAUAGCCCAGGGAAACUUGGGGUAAUACCGAAUAAGCCCUUCGGGGGAAAGAUUUAUCGCCAUUGGAUGGGCCCGCGUCGGAUUAGCUAGUUGGUGGGGUAACGGCCCACCAAGGCGACGAUCAGUAGCUGGUCUGAGAGGAUGAUCAGCCACACUGGGACUGAGACACGGCCCAGACUCCUACGGGAGGCAG
rnacentral:rRNA from 1 species